AUAAGUUAGCUUCAUGAAUAAAGUAUUAUUUUUACGAACUAUAUAAAAUUUAUGUUAGUCUCCAAAAUGAUAAGAAUGUGGGUACUAUUAUCUUAUUUUUAAAGCCAAACAUAGUUAUAUAUUGGAGAAUUAGAUUAUGGUAUUUUAAGCAUUUAAAUUAUAUACUAUAUGUGGCAUAAUGACCCAAGUCUUAGGGCAUUUUUUUUCGGCCAAAACAUUGUAUAGGAUAGAGAGUUUUAUUUGACUUAAUUAACAAGUAAUAAUGGAGAGACUAAGUAAGUGUGUGGUGUAGUAGUAGUGGAACUAAGUGAUAUUUAUUUAAGCUUAAUUGCUCAAGUGGGGACGUGUACUGUCCAUGUGAAUUAAAGAAUAUAAAGCUUAUAUAUAUAUUUUUUUAAGCUUGGACGUGUGGCACUCCUGGAGAUAAGCAUGGAAUAGAUUAGAGUCAUUCCAACUAUGUCAAACUUAAGUAAUUAUUAGAUUUCAAAAUUUAAAUUCCAGAUUCGGAUCACGUAGGUGGUAAUUAAUUUAGUUAUGAUUAUUUUUUUAGAAGUACCACACUCUGUUCAAGAUGAAUCGAAUUUGACGGAAGUGGAUGAUAAAGGUUGGAGGUUCAAAUUUGAAAAUCUGUUAUGGGUUUAUGGUUGUUUCUUGGAACUUGUUUGACCGAGUAUGAAGACGUAAGUUAGAGUUUUAGCAGUGUAUUUGAAUAUUUUCUUCAAUCUAACCAUUAUUAGACUUCGUUAGUUUUAAUGCCUAUAAAUACCUUUCAUUAAAUCAUUUCGCUCAUCACAUAAGUUUUCUAAACACUUUCCACAAGCUCCCGAAAUUGCCGAAGCUCACACACUCUUUAUUCUUAAAUAAUUAUGUUUUCUUUCUAGCACUCUCGCUAUCCUGGCUAUUAUAAUCUCCAUACAAUCAUUAUCCAGACUACCUCUCACAAAUACACACACUACUAUUAUUUACUCAUAUCAUCCACAAGCCACAGUUCCACCAUACAUCACUAUAGUUUCUACAAAUUACCAUCAUCUUAUUUUCCAUUUCAAGAUCAUCUCAUGUUAUAGGUGUGUCUUACACUAGGCUUGGGCUUAAGAAUUCUUCAUAGUCACGAAUAGGAUUCUCCUUUGAAGCUACGGUAUUUCAUAAGACAAUUAUUAUUUCUCAAGGAUCACUCUCAUUGCAAUCAAGGCUAGGACUCCACAUUCGAGAUUAAGGUUCUAAAACUUAGAGAGCCGGUGGCAAGUGAGACCUUGGAGGCUUGUGUGUGUACUCGCUGAGGACCAUAUAACUGAGGGUGGUCUAGGGCACGCUCCAUUUAUUUUAUUUAGAGUUAUUAGACUAAUGUCGCAGUUAUUUUGAUUUAUUAAUUAUUAUGUCUUUUAAGUCCAAACUGAGCUCAAAUAUGAAAUAUUUUAUGUUUAUAAAUAAAAGCGACAUUAUAGAUUUUCCGCAUUUUAACGCUUGUAACUAAAUUAGUAAUUUAUGAAAAGUACGGGCGUUACAGUUUGGUAUCAGAGCCACAGUUAUAUUAGUCCCGAACGUUCUCACGAGUUACACAUAUCGGCUAAAAAGGUUCCACUCGCUACCAAAUUAAGGUUCUAAAACUUAGAGAGCCGGUGGCAAGUGAGACCUUGGAGGCUUGUGUGUGUACUCGCUGAGGACCAUAUAACUGAGGGUGGUCUAGGGCACGCUCCAUUUAUUUUAUUUAGAGUUAUUAGACUAAUGUCGCAGUUAUUUUGAUUUAUUAAUUAUUAUGUCUUUUAAGUCCAAACUGAGCUCAAAUAUGAAAUAUUUUAUGUUUAUAAAUAAAAGCGACAUUAUAGAUUUUCCGCAUUUUAACGCUUGUAACUAAAUUAGUAAUUUAUGAAAAGUACGGGCGUUACAGCUCCUCAAGUGGG